GACGAACGCUGGCGGCGUGCUUAACACAUGCAAGUCGAACGGAAAGGCCCUGCUUUUGUGGGGUGCUCGAGUGGCGAACGGGUGAGUAACACGUGAGUAACCUGCCCUUGACUUUGGGAUAACUUCAGGAAACUGGGGCUAAUACCGGAUAGGAGCUCAUGCUGCAUGGUGGGGGUUGGAAAGUUUCGGCGGUUGGGGAUGGACUCGCGGUUUAUCAGCUUGUUGGUGAGGUAGUGGCUUACCAAGGCAUUGACGGGUAGCCGGCCUGAGAGGGUGACCGGCCACAUUGGGACUGAGAUACGGCCCAGACUCCUACGGGAGGCAGCAGUGGGGAAUAUUGCACGAUGGGCGGAAGCCUGGUGCAGCAACGCCGCGUGCGGGGUGACGGCCUUCUGGUUGUAAACCGCUUUCGCCUGUACCGAAGCGUGAGUGACGGUAAUGGGUAAAGAAGCACCGGCUAACUACGUG
rnacentral:rRNA from 1 species